UCUCCCUUUCAACAUUUUUCUGUCUAGGGUUUGAAGUUUCGCGGGUUGGGUCGCGACGAUGAGCUUCCUCGUGCCUCCAGAUCUCACCUCCACUUCCACUUCCACUUCGAUCGAUGUUCUCUUGCAUCCCACCGCCGCCACACCCACCCCGGCGAUCCGGGGCCUGGGAAGCUUCAGCUGCCGGCGAUGAGGAGAAGGGUCACAUCUGCCCCCGACGACGGCAGCCCUGUAUCCACCCCACGCAUCCGUAGCCACCGUCGCGGCUGUCGUGCCCUAUCCUUCGAAGAGGAUCCCGUCUCUAGGGAGAUGGCUGAGAAGGAGGGCGUUGUGGAGAUUUGUAAUAGUGUUGAGAAGGCGGCGGAAGGGGCAACGAUCUUACCCGUUUAAUGCAUGGUGGAGGUGUUGAGGAGAUUGUUGCCCAAGGAGCUGAUGAGGGUUGCGGCGGUGGAGAGGCUACGUAGGGUUUGGCGCGCCGCGAAGGAGCUAAGGCUUAGGGUUUUGCCUCGAUCGUAUAUGGGGUUUGUUGGUUCGUUGCUCCACAAGUGCGCCUGCUUGUCUAGACUUAUGCUGCGAAUAGAAAGAGACAUGUAAACCUUGCUCAACAUUUGCAAUCUUUUACAUUUAAACCAUCUUUCCAUGCUCGACUGGACAUAGAACAAACACUUCUUGAGCUCCAGAAUUAUGACAUGUAAGCUAAUGCAUUUUCUUUGAGUUAUUUAUUAGCCGAAGUAUGAAUUGUCAUUCUGGCACAGUUUUGUUUGUCCUUUUUCUACCUGAUAUGCUUUAUAUAUCUACAAUACUCAGUUCUGAGUACAAUCAUGUAAUCUAAUUUUACAAAUUAUACACUAUACAGUGAUAGUUACUUUAAAAGUUUGUUGUAUCUGUCUUAAAAAUUUGCAGAAUUGUAAAUUUUCUUAUGGAAAUUUUACAGCCAAGCAGCUUGUCAAUCAAGAACCAGUAUUACAAUUCAGUAAAAUGACUUUUUAUUUUUUACAAUAUAGUGGGUCAAGAUAUACAAUGCAUUAAGAUUCUUGCCUUCUUUGAAUACUAAUUUGAUAGGUCUCAUUUUACGAACUGCAUUUUGGGCUUUGAUGAACCAAGCAAAUGAUAUGAAUCACUUUGGUAGUGACCACUCAAAAAGUUAUUGCUUUUUUGAUGCUGCAUUUGCUGGUGGUUUCUAUUCCAGGAGAAUGUUAGGUUGUACCAAGAGUUGCUUGAAUCAUCUUCAAAGAUUGUCAUUACUAUUAUAAGGGAGAUUGUAAGAGUGAUAUCAUUUGUCGGUUUAUGAUUUUUUUAUUAUUGUCAUUAUAACCUGUUAAAAAAAUCUGUCUAUUUUUAAGGAAAUUGCAAAGAAAAAUGCACUCAUUAGAGAACUUGCGGGCCAAUACAUAGGACUAGAAGGACUUCGAUGCCUAAAUUCAAAAUAAAAGUAUGUAUAAUUAUAAUAUACGUGUUUUUUUGGUAACAAAUGUAUAAGGAUUUGUCAUUUUUAUAUAGUUGGCAGCUAAUGGAAAGUCAAUAGAUCCCUUAACAACGAAUAUUGAAGCUUGCUGUAAAAAUGGAGUUCCAGCUGAUGCUGAGGCUGCAAAUUUAAUAGUAAACACAUUCAUUUACAAUUCUUGUAUUGUUAAGACAUUAUCAUUUUGUUUACUUGUGAAGGAUCUAUAUUUAUUGAUGUUAAUAAACAAACAUCUAGGGUCAAAUGUAAGAAAAGUUAUCAGCGGUACAUGCUGAGGAUCAAACACCUGAGUUGAGAUAGAAAAUUUUUAAUAGUUUCAUGGGAAAUGAAAGUCAUGGUUAUGUUUGCAUUAUGGGUUUAGGUCCUAAUCCAUCUGACAUGCAUACUCAUCCCUUGUUAUCCAAUGAACAUUUAAAUGAGUUAAUCAACAUGGCUAUGGAGAAAGCUAUAGCAGAGUGUAUGAAAGUAGUGACUCCUAUUCUAAAUCAAAUAAAAUUCCAAAUAGAUGCACUUUAAUUAAAGUUAGAGAAUCAUGGAUCCCCCAUUGACGUAUUUUCGUAUGGAAUUCAGUUAAUUUAGUAAUCAAAAGGUAUCUUGAUUUUAUUUAAAUAACUGACUUUUAUGAUGAAUUUUGAUAGUUUUGUGAUACGUAUGCUAGUUUUUAAUAAGGUUGUAGAUAAUACUAUUUCACAUGUACAAGGAUUUUUUUUUAUUGAUUUUUCUAAACAUUAUAUAUUAUAAAUCAUCUUUACCUCUAAUAAAAGUUUUUUCUUUUAAUGUUCA